AACGCGAAGAACCUUACCCAGGCUUGACAUGCAGUGGACAGUUUCAGAAAUGAGAUCUCCCUUCGGGGCCACUGCACAGGUGCUGCAUGGCUGUCGUCAGCUCGUGCCGUGAGGUGUUGGGUUAAGUCCCGCAACGAGCGCAACCCUUAUCAUUAGUUGCCAACAUUUCGGAUGGGAACUCUAAUGAGACUGCCUGGGUUAACCAGGAGGAAGGUGAGGAUGACGUCAAGUCCGCAUGGCCCUUAUGUCUGGGGCUACACACGUGCUACAAUGGUCGGUACAGAAGGCAGCGAAACCGUGAGGUGAAGCAAAUCCCAAAAAGCCGGCCCCAGUUCAGAUUGUAGUCUGCAACUCGACUACAUGAAGAUGGAAUUGCUAGUAAUGGCGAGUCAGCAACAUCGCCGUGAAUACGUUCCCGGGCCUUGUACACACCGGUAUCUC
rnacentral:rRNA from 1 species